rnacentral:rRNA from 1 species
CAAACCAAAGCUGGCGACCGGCGCACGGGUGAGUAACACGUAUCCAACCUGCCUCAUACUCGGGGAUAGCCUUUCGAAAGAAAGAUUAAUAUCCGAUAGCAUAUAUUUCCCGCAUGGGUUUUAUAUUAAGGAAAUUCGGUAUGAGAUGGGGAUGCGUUCCAUUAGUUUGUUGGGGGGUAACGGCCCACCAAGACUACGAUGGAUAGGGGUUCUGAGAGGAAGGUCCCCCACAUUGGAACUGAGACACGGUCCAA